rnacentral:tRNA from 1 species
AGAGACGUGAUCUAAUCGGAAAGAUACCUGCUUUAUUGAAUUCAAAGCUGGAAUUCCUGGUUCGAACCCAGGCGUCUUCA